rnacentral:rRNA from 1 species
AGGUCCCAAGGGUUCGGCUGUUCGCCGAUUAAAGUGGCACGUGAACUGGGUUCAGAACGUCGCAAGACAGUUCGGUCCCUAUCUGUGGUGGGCGUUAGUAAAUUGAGUGGACAUGACCUUAGUACGAGAGGACCGGGUCGUACGUACCGCUGGUGUAUCUGUUGUGCCGCCAGGUGCAAUGCAGAGUAGCUAUGUACGGACAGGAUAAACGCUGAAAGCAUCUAAGCGUGAAACCUUCCACAAGAUGAGUUUACUUUUAAGGGUCGUCGAAGACUACGACGUUGAUAGGCUAUAGGUGUAAAGUUGGUAACAACAAAGCCAAGUAGUACUAAUUGCCCGUAAGCUUUAUUUUU